UACGGGGGGGGCAAGCGUUGUUCGGAAUUACUGGGCGUAAAGGGCUCGUAGGCGGCCAACUAAGUCAGACGUGAAAUCCCUCGGCUUAACCGGGGAACUGCGUCUGAUACUGGAUGGCUUGAGUUCGGGAGAGGGAUGCGGAAUUCCAGGUGUAGCGGUGAAAUGCGUAGAUAUCGGGAGGAACAUCAGUGGCGAAGGCGGCUGCCUGGCCCAAUACUGACACUCAGGUGCGACAGCGUGGGGAGCAAACAGG
rnacentral:rRNA from 1 species